GUCGAACGAUGAAGCCCCUUCGGGGGUGGAUUAGUGGCGAACGGGUGAGUAACACGUGGGCAAUCUGCCCUGCACUCUGGGACAAGCCCUGGAAACGGGGUCUAAUACCGGAUACGACCCUCUGAGGCAUCUCCUCUGGGUGGAAAGCUCCGGCGGUGCAGGAUGAGCCCGCGGCCUAUCAGCUUGUUGGUGAGGUAACGGCUCACCAAGGCGACGACGGGUAGCCGGCCUGAGAGGGCGACCGGCCACACUGGGACUGAGACACGGCCCAGACUCCUACGGGAGGCAGCAGUGGGGAAUAUUGCACAAUGGGCGCAAGCCUGAUGCAGCGACGCCGCGUGAGGGAUGACGGCCUUCGGGUUGUAAACCUCUUUCAGCAGGGAAGAAGCGUAAGUGACGGUACCUGCAGAAGAAGCGCCGGCUAACUACGUGCCAGCAGCCGG
rnacentral:rRNA from 1 species